rnacentral:rRNA from 1 species
UACGUAGGGUGCAAGCGUUGUCCGGAAUUAUUGGGCGUAAAGAGCUCGUAGGCGGCCUGUUGCGUCCGCUGUGAAAGCCCGGGGCUUAACCCCGGGUCUGCAGUGGAUACGGGCAGGCUAGAGGUAGGUAGGGGAGAAUGGAAUUCCCGGUGUAGCGGUGAAAUGCGCAGAUAUCGGGAGGAACACCGGUGGCGAAAGCGGCUCACUGGACCAUAACUGACGCUGAGGCGCGAAAGCUAGGGGAGCAAACAGG